rnacentral:tRNA from 1 species
CAAAAAAUAGUUUAAAAAAACAUUAAUUUUGGAAAUUAAAAAUAUAACUUUAUAUUAUUUUUUUGA